GACGAACGCUGGCGGCGUGCUUAACACAUGCAAGUCGAACGGAAAGGCCCUGCUUUUGUGGGGUGCUCGAGUGGCGAACGGGUGAGUAACACGUGAGUAACCUGCCCUUGCCUUUGGGAUAACUUCAGGAAACUGGGGCUAAUACCGGAUAGGAGCUCCUGCUGCAUGGUGGGGGUUGGAAAGUUUCGGCGGUUGGGGAUGGACUCGCGGCUUAUCAGCUUGUUGGUGGGGUAGUGGCUUACCAAGGCUUUGACGGGUAGCCGGCCUGAGAGGGUGACCGGCCACAUUGGGACUGAGAUACGGCCCAGACUCCUACGGGAGGCAGCAGUGGGGAAGAUUGCACAAUGGGCGGAAGCCUGAUGCAGCAACGCCGCGUGCGGGAUGACGGCCUUCGGGUUGUAAACCGCUUUCGCCUGUGACGAAGCGUGAGUGACGGUAAUGGGUAAAGAAGCACCGGCUAACUACGUG
rnacentral:rRNA from 1 species